rnacentral:tRNA from 2 species
GCCACCUACGGCCCGCCCCGGCUGGGUGGUGCGGUCAUCGCGCGGCCGGCGAUCACCGGAUUGCUGUCCGGUUCGGAUGCCGAACUGGUGGUG